rnacentral:rRNA from 1 species
AGCGAACGCUGGCGGCAUGCCUAACACAUGCAAGUCGCACGGGUCGGCUUCGGCCGGUCAGUGGCGGACGGGUGAGGAACGCGUAGGGAUCUGUCCUCUGGAGGGGGAUAACAGCGUGAAACUGCGGCUAAGACCGCAUGGGGCGCCGGUGUGAGAGCCGGUGUCAAAGGCGCGCAUCGCGAGGUGUGUGUGGCCGGGGGGUGAGGCUGCGUCCGAUUAGCUGGUUGGCGGGGUAGUGGCCCACCGAGGCGUUGAUCGGUAGCUGGGCGGAGAGGGUGAGCAGCCACACUGGGGAUGCGACACGGACCAGACUCCUACGGGAGGCAGCAGUGGAGAAUAUUGGACGAGGGGCGCAAGGCUGAUGCAGCAAUGCGGCGUGGGUGAAGAAGGUCUUCGUAUUGUGAAGCCCUUUCGGCGGGGACGAUGGUGACGGUACCCGAAGAAGAAGCCCCGGCUAACUUCGUG